rnacentral:rRNA from 1 species
GACGAACGCUGGCGGUGUGCUUCACACCUGCAAGUCGAACGAGGUAGCAAUACCUAGUGGCGGACGGGUGAGUAACGCGUGGGAAUCUGCCUUUAGAUGGGGGAUAACGGGUCGAAAGACUCGCUAAUACCGCAUAUGACGAAAGUUGAAAGGAGUAAUCCGUCUAAAGAUGAGCCCGCGUCCGAUUAGCUAGUUGGUAGAGUAAAAGCCUACCAAGGCGACGAUCGGUAGCUGGUCUGAGAGGAUGAUCAGCCACAAUGGGACUAGAGACACGGCCCAUAC